UUAAGGUUCGUCAGCCGCUGCCCAUCAGCGGUCGGGUUUAGUAGCCCGAUAC
rnacentral:ncRNA from 1 species